rnacentral:rRNA from 1 species
UGGGGAAUAUUGCGCAAUGGGCGAAAGCCUGACGCAGCGACGCCGCGUGAGGGAUGAAGGCCUUCGGGUUGUAAACCUCUUUCAGCAGGGGAAGAAGCGAGAGUGACGGUACCUGCAGAAGAAGCACCGGCUAACUACGUGCCAGCAGCCGCGGUAAUACGUAGGGUGCAAGCGUUGUCCGGAAUUAUUGGGCGUAAAGAGCUCGUAGGCGGUUUGUCGCGUCUGCUGUGAAAACUCGGGCUCAACUCCGAGCUUGCAGUGGGUACGGGCAGACUAGAGUGCGGUAGGGGAGACUGGAAUUCCUGGUGUAGCGGUGAAAUGCGCAGAUAUCAGGAGGAACACCGGUGGCGAAGGCGGGUCUCUGGGCCGUAACUGACGCUGAGGAGCGAAAGCAUGGGGAGCGAACAGGAUUAGAUAGCCCUGGUAGUCCAUGCCGUAAACGUUGGGCGCUAGGUGUGGGGCUCUUUCCACGAGUUCUGUGCCGCAGCUAACGCAUUAAGCGCCCCGCCUGGGGAGUACGGCCGCAAGGCUAAAAC